AAGCUGUGCAGUGAGAACAAUGCGAACUAUUCUUUCGCCUUUUACUAAAGAAUACCGUGUUCUAUGCUCUUAAGCAGCGUACACCUAUUUUUGGAAAGGGUUUCUGCAAAAACCCU
rfam:Arabis alpina cultivar Pajares scaff_58186_1_contig_0, whole genome shotgun sequence.